GCGGUGCCGAAGGUGCAGCCGGCACCGAGGGAACAAAGGCGGCGGCGGCGGCGGGGAACAAAGAGCGGCAGGUCUGCCUAAAGAAAUUCUGCAAGAUUUGGAGCCUUGAUUUUCUGUGAGGAAAUUUUUUCUUUUCCAGCCAAAAGCGAAUCCUGCACCUUUCAGUGUCAUUUCAGCUGGAGCCUGAGAAGCACUGACUUGCAGAAGCAACAAUCAAAGCUGGCUACUACUUGACUGCCCUGCCUUGGCAAACAACUGGUCCAAUUCAUGCUUUGUUGCCGUCCUGGCAACAAACUAACCCGUGAUAGUUCUUUGUGUACUUUUUUUACUUGUUUUAUUGAGGAUUAAUUACUGUUUGUAUAGUGACACAGCUAUCUGGUGCUCCAUAGACACAGCUGAAGGCAAAGGCCUUUGGGCUGUGCUGUGGUUUCCUAAUUCCUGUGUUAUGGCCACUGUAAUGCACAUCGUCAAAGUGAAACAAACAUUUCUGACUCAUU